UGGGGAAUUUUGGACGAAUUGGGCGAAAGGCCUGAAUCCAGCAAUGCCGCGUGUGUGAAGAAGGCCUUCGGGUUGUAAAGCACUUUUGUCCGGAAAGAAAUCCUUGGCUCUAAUACAGUCGGGGGAUGACGGUACCGGAAGAAUAAGCACCGGCUAACUACGUGCCAGCAGCCGCGGUAAUACGUAGGGUGCAAGCGUUAAUCGGAAUUGCUGGGCGUAAAGCGUGCGCAGGCGGUUUGCUAAGACCGAUGUGAAAUCCCCGGGCUCAACCUGGGAACUGCAUUGGUGACUGGCAGCUAGAGUAUGGCAGAGGGGGGUAGAAUUCCACGUGUAGCAGUGAAAUGCGUAGAGAUGUGGAGGAAUACCGAUGGCGAAGGCAGCCCCCUGGGCCAAUACUGACGCUCAUGCACGAAAGCGUGGGGAGCAAAC
rnacentral:rRNA from 1 species